CUCCCGGAUGUUAGCGGCGGACGGGUGAGUAACACGUGGGUAACCUGCCUGUAAGACUGGGAUAACUCCGGGAAACCGGAGCUAAUACCGGAUAGUUCCUUGAACCGCAUGGUUCAAGGAUGAAAGACGGUUUCGGCUGUCACUUACAGAUGGACCCGCGGCGCAUUAGCUAGUUGGUGAGGUAACGGCUCACCAAGGCGACGAUGCGUAGCCGACCUGAGAGGGUGAUCGGCCACACUGGGACUGAGACACGGCCCAGACUCCUACGGGAGGCAGCAGUAGGGAAUCUUCCGCAAUGGACGAAAGUCUGACGGAGCAACGCCGCGUGAGUGAUGAAGGUUUUCGGAUCGUAAAGCUCUGUUGUUAGGGAAGAACAAGUGCAAGAGUAACUGCUUGCACCUUGACGGUACCUAACCAGAAAGCCACGGCUAACUACGUGCCAGCAGCCGCGGUAAUACGUAGGUGGCAAGCGUUGUCCGGAAUUAUUGGGCGUAAAGGGCUCGCAGGCGGUUUCUUAAGUCUGAUGUGAAAGCCCCCGGCUCAACCGGGGAGGGUCAUUGGAAACUGGGAAACUUGAGUGCAGAAGAGGAGAGUGGAAUUCCACGUGUAGCGGUGAAAUGCGUAGAGAUGUGGAGGAACACCAGUGGCGAAGGCGACUCUCUGGUCUGUAACUGACGCUGAGGAGCGAAAGCGUGGGGAGCGAACAGGAUUAGAUACCCUGGUAGUCCACGCCGUAAACGAUGAGUGCUAAGUGUUAGGGGGUUUCCGCCCCUUAGUGCUGCAGCUAACGCAUUAAGCACUCCGCCUGGGGAGUACGGUCGCAAGACUGAAACUCAAAGGAAUUGACGGGGGCCCGCACAAGCGGUGGAGCAUGUGGUUUAAUUCGAAGCAACGCGAAGAACCUUACCAGGUCUUGACAUCCUCUGACAACCCUAGAGAUAGGGCUUUCCCUUCGGGGACAGAGUGACAGGUGGUGCAUGGUUGUCGUCAGCUCGUGUCCUGAGAUGUUGGGUUAAGUCCCGCAACGAGCGCAACCCUUGAUCUUAGUUG
rnacentral:rRNA from 1 species